GAUGAACGCUGGCGGCGUGCCUAAUACAUGCAAGUCGAGCGAACGGACGAGAAGCUUGCUUCUCUGAUGUUAGCGGCGGACGGGUGAGUAACACGUGGAUAACCUACCUAUAAGACUGGGAUAACUUCGGGAAACCGUAGCUAAUACCGGAUAAUAUUUUGAACCGCAUGGUUCAAAAGUGAAAGACGGUCUUGCUGUCACUUAUAGAUGGAUCCGCGCUGCAUUAGCUAGUUGGUAAGGUAACGGCUUACCAAGGCAACGAUGCAUAGCCGACCUGAGAGGGGGUGCGGGCACACGGGAGCUGAGACACGGUCCAGACUCCUACGGGAGGCAGCAGUAGGGAAUAUUCCGCAAUGGGCGAAAGCCUGACGGAGUAAUGCCGCGUGAGUGAUGAAGGUCUUCGGAUCGUAAAACUCUGUUAUUAGGGAAGAACAUAUGUGUAAGUAACUGUGCACAUCUUGACGGUACCUAAUCAGAAAGCCACGGCUAACUACGUG
rnacentral:rRNA from 1 species